CUGGAGUGGGCUGCCAUUUCCUUCUCCAGGGGAUCUUCACAACCCAGGGAUUGAACCCAGGUCUCCUGCAUUGCAGACAGAUGCUUUACCAUCUGAGCCACCAGGGAAGCCUAAAUAUUCCAUUAAAGCCAAAUGAUGUUAAGCUGUCAUCACAGCUAGUUAAGUCAAAUACUAGCCACUAUUAUAGAUCAGAUAAUGCUGACAAAUAAAAUAAUCUUAGUGCAUAGUACAGCAGGCUGACUACUCUUUAAAUGUGAAUGCUUGGACUGGUUGCAAGUGCUUCAGUAGAUAACACACCAGUCUUUAGAUAUUUGUAGAUGUCUGCUGCCUCCAGGGAUUGCCUGAGAAGGAAGUAUGCCAAUGAAUGAAUACCCAGCCAUACAAGAGAAAGGACAUUUGUUUACCUUCACUUUUCAACCUUACAGAUUAUCCAGAAGGAUCAUCAUCUCUUGCCGUGGAAACAGAAACAUAGCAGCUUUUACAUCUCCUGCAUCUCUCAAACAGGACCCUCCAUCUCCAAUGAAGUUUACAGAGUUCAGUGUUGGAAACCAUUCUGAUCUUCAAAAUAAGUCACCACGGCAGAUUGAAACUUUUCAAUUUGAAAGCAUCCCAUCAAAUACUUGCUGUGCAGAUAGAUGUUUCAGAACUUAUAAGUUAUCUAAUUUACUAGCUGAACUCAUCAAUCUGGUAGCAAUUAAUUCAAGCCAGUCUUCCUCUACUUCUUUCUUCAAUUCCUCUCCUCCCCUCAGUGAAAGCCUAAAAGUACAUAUUUAUCUUUCCAGAGGCUCUUUUUAUUCCUCUUGUCAGGUAAAGGGGAACUCAAAAGACUCCCUUGGAGUCUUUAACUCCCCUAGAAAGACCGUUAAUCAUAUCUAUAGGUCUUUGUUUUGUUGAGGGGAAUCAGACAAGUUUGCUGCUUGUGCACAUGUGCAUUUAUAAGCAUACAUAUGUGCAACAUAUUUACACAAAAUUCUGCUGCUGUGUUGUGAAAAUUGAGGUUUAAAAAAACUGAAGUUUUUUAUUCAAUCAUAUCUUUUUCCUAAAUAGCAAUCUAAAUAUUUGCUGAGCUGUGAACACCUUUUCCUAUAUCAGGUACCUAAAAUUUAAGAGGGAGAUUCAACACUGUGAUCAAGGUCUGUGAAUUGGGAAUUGAACAAUGUAAAACCUGUUCUCUGUCAUAGAUGUGUGGUGUUCCUGAAAGCACCACAGCUAAUAGAGACCAGAUCAGAUUUCCAUUUUAUUUAACAUAACGAUUAGAGUUUUCAAGACUUUUAAUGCCAGAGUGUGGGAAAAUUCUCCAAUAACUUUUAUUCUUUUCUCUGCUACCUAGCUUUAUUUAAACCUUCACAAAUUACUCUUACGAUGAAAGAAAAACUAUAAGCUCAAGUUAUGGACCAUUGGUUUUGUUAAGGGGUUUAAGGAUGAUUUUCUGGUUUAAUUACAAUACUGUUAACAAGGACAAAAUUUCAUAUUUGAAAUUAGCUUAAGGAUUAGCACUAAAGAUUUUCUUUCACAACAGGAAUUAGUGUACAAAUAGUGAAAAAUCCAAUAGUAAUAUAUCAAUUCUUUCUCUUUUUUUCUUUCCUUCUUUUUUUUGUUUAGUUUCAAUAGUAGUGCAGCCAUUAAGAUAGUUUACAACCAUUUCCCAGCUUAUUUAUAAUAAGCCUUUCUUUUAGUUCUAGUUCCUGAAUCAGUAAGUAUGGACAGUAAUGCUGCUUCUCUAUGAUAAUAAUAAUAUCUAAGAGUAUUGAUGGUUUCCAUUUCUCAGUCAGUGCCAUAGUGCACAGCUGCUAACAAUAGAAGUUCCAACUCUUACAGAGAUCAGUGAGUUAGAGGCACCUUACUGAUAUCAAGUUGUUGAAAUCCUAGAGGGGUUAGGUUUCCUAAAGUAUUCUCUGAAACCUUUUUGAGUAAAAAAGAGUUGCCUGCCACAAACAAUUCAGUGUUCAGGCUCCAGUGGAGCUGUGAAUGUGCAUAGUCCAGCUACUUAAAGCAAUGAAAAACCCGUUCAUUUGAAUUCUCUAGGUAAUUCUGGUCAAGAGAAGACUUUCAGCAUAAAUUAAAUGGAUUGUGGCCAUCAUUUCACCUGAGAGAAUACUAUACAUGACUAAAUCUAUUAGUGCCAGGGGCUGUUUUUCAAACUCCAAUGGCAAGAACCAGCCUAGAAGACUCUACACACUGGGUUUCAUGAUAAAAUCAUAUAUGUUCAGAUGAGAAGAUUUUUCCCCUUUCUCUUCCCCUUCAAAACACUCUCUUGUUUGGGUUUAUCUUGAAAACGUAUUGAUCAUCCACAUGGCAUUGUGUUUGACAAGCCUUGCCUUAUAUUCAUAUAGAAAUGCACCUUUCCUAAAAGUAGGACUGUUGCUUACUCCAAAGCCAGUAGGCCUCAAAGCAAUCUAUCUAGUCCAUCAUCUUCUGCCAAGAGCUUAGGCAGAACAGCUGCUAUCUAUGAUUCAAAUCCAGGAAGGAAUCAAUAACUUAUUUAAUGAAUAGAGUGUAUCAGCACUCAUAGAAAUCAGGUCAUAAAAGACAAUGUCAGGGAACUACAAAAAAGCACUGGAGGGUAAAGCUCAGGAAAGCUGUAAUGCAAAGAUUAUUGUUUAAUGUCUUACGGACACACUGUCUUCAAAAGGCCAAAUAAAGCAGGGUUUUACCUGGGGACUUAGGGAAAU
rnacentral:lncRNA from 1 species